CGAGAGGGUUAGACCCUCGGCGAACGGGUGAGUAAUACACAGGAAUCUGCCUUAGAGUCUCGGAUAACCCAUCGAAAGAUGGAAUAAUACGGGAUAGUUCCCUUCGGGGUAAAGAUUUAUCGCUCUAAGAGGAGCCUGUGUCCUAUCAGCUUGUUGGUAAGGUAAAAGCUUACCAAGGCUAUGACGGGUAGCUGGAUCGAGAGGUCGAUCAGCCACAAUGGGACUGAGACACGGCCCAUACUCC
rnacentral:rRNA from 1 species